GGUUUUCUCCAUAUAUCACAGUGUCAAAGAAAUAAAGCACAUAUUGAAGCAGAAAUAGGCUACAGAUCAGAUAGAAUUAUUAUAUGUAUGUCUAUACACUAGACACGGCAUUUAAAUUUCAUAUUAAUCAUCAUUGUCACAAUCAGUACAGGGAAUUUUAAUUUACAAGUGACAUUACAUCGUCAAAAGGUAUGACUCGUUGAUGCAUUUCUUAACGUGACAAGUGUUUUGUAUAUAGGUAUUCUUGAACAACACAAAACCCUGAGAAUAGCCAAAUCCCUGAUCCCUAAUGUACAGUGUGACCUUCAUUUAAAAAAAAAUUCCAAGACCUCUGUUUGAUGGGUGAAUUAAAUGUUCUUGCAACCAAUAUUAUAAAGACCUUUUCUUUCUGUUUGCAUCAUGUGAGCUGUUUAGCAAGACACAUGUCUCUUGUUUUGUAUUAUCAUUGUAUCAUUUGCUGAUGCAUUUUAAAGGUUGUUACAAUUAAAACUUUUAAAUAUU
rnacentral:misc_RNA from 1 species